rnacentral:tRNA from 1 species
AAAGAAAGUAGUUCAAUUUUAAGCUUCUAACUUAAAAAUUAAUAAGUUAAAUUCUUAUUUUUCUUUU